rnacentral:misc_RNA from 1 species
CGCUGCGUGUCAUGUGCCCCGCUUCAAUAGCAUCAGGUACCGUAUUGACGAUCUCUUACCAUAGACAGACUUGCAGCUAGCAGACUUGCAUCGUAUCCGGCCUUGCAGCAAAUAUGUGCCGCGCUGGCCACACCCCGCUGGCCGAUGAUCCAUUCGAUGUUCCUGUCUUGAGGCUAUCCCAUGUCUGAUUUCACGACCUCUCGGCAGUAUAUGGUCGACUGUCAGGUGCGGCCGAGCGACGUGACCGAUCUGCGGAUCAUCGAUGCGAUGCUUGCCGUGCCGCAAGCGCCUGAUCGCCUAUCUGGAUCUCGAUAUCGAUGUCGCGGCGGACGGUCAGCCGAAGCGCUGCCUCAUCAAGCCGGCAGUUCG